rnacentral:tRNA from 1 species
AGCGGGGUAGCUCAGUCGGUUAGAGCGCAGGACUCAUAAGCCUGAGGUCAGUGUUUCGAUUCCACUUCCCACUACCA